rnacentral:rRNA from 1 species
ACUCAAAUGAAUUGACGGGGACCCGCACAAGCGGUGGAGCAUGUGGAUUAAUUCGAUACUAACCGAAGAACCUUACCCAGGUUUGACAUCGAUCGUAAGCCCCCGAAAUGGGGCCCUCUUCCCAAAAGGAAGACGUGAAGACACUUGUUGCAUGGCUGUCGUCAGCUCGUGCCGUGAGGUGUACGGUUAAGUCCGCCAACGAGCGCAACCCUCGUCCUGUGUUACCAGCAUGAAAGAUGGGAACUCACAGGAGACCGCCGGUGUAAGCCGGAGGAAGGUGAGGAUGAUGUCAAGUCAGCAUGGCAGUUACACCUGGGGCUUCACACAUGCUACAAUGGGCGAAACAAAGGGCAGCAAUACCGUGAGGUGGAGCAAAUCCCAAAAAUACGCCCCCAGUUCAGAUAGUAGUCUGCAACUCGACUACUUGAAGGCGGAAUCGCUAGUAAACGCAGGUCAGCUAUACUGCGUUGAAUACGUUCCCGGGUCUUGUACACACCGCCCGU